UGCCCGGGUGGUGUAGCGGCCUAUCAUUGAGCCCUGUCGAGGCUCGGACUCGGGUUCAAAUCCCGACCUGGGCGU
rnacentral:tRNA from 3 species